rnacentral:rRNA from 1 species
AGUGAACGCUGGCGGUAGGCCUAACACAUGCAAGUCGAACGGCAGCACAGUAAGAGCUUGCUCUUACGGGUGGCGAGUGGCGGACGGGUGAGGAAUACAUCGGAAUCUACUUUUUCGUGGGGGAUAACGUAGGGAAACUUACGCUAAUACCGCAUACGACCUACGUGUGAAAGCAGGGGAUCUUCGGACCUUGCGCGAUUGAAUGAGCCGAUGUCGGAUUAGCUAGUUGGCGGGGUAAAGGCCCACCAAGGCGACGAUCCGUAGCUGGUCUGAGAGGAUGAUCAGCCACACUGGAACUGAGACACGGUCCAGACUCCUACGGGAGGCAGCAGUGGGGAAUCUUGGACAAUGGGCGCAAGCCUGAUCCAGCCAUACCGCGUGGGUGAAGAAGGCCUUCGGGUUGUAAAGCCCUUUUGUUGGGAAAGAAAAGCAGCAGGUUAAUACCCCGCUGUUCUGACGGUACCCAAAGAAUAAGCACCGGCUAACUUCGUG